GAUCUCAAUAAUAUUAUCUCUCUGCAGUGAAUAUAUGCAAAACACUCGGUCAUUAACAAAAUGAACUCUUUAAGUAAAAUAUUAUUCAAAUAGAGCACAUGUAAAAAGGAAUUUAAUUUUGCAUGGAAGUUCUACUGACCGAUCUUUAACAAGCAAGCAGAAACACAUACAAAAUACAUAUCAACAUUCAAAACAUGUCUUCUAUGGUUACUCUGAUU
rnacentral:misc_RNA from 1 species